CCGCCUGGGGAGUACGGCCGCAAGGUUAAAACUCAAAUGAAUUGACGGGGGCCCGCACAAGCGGUGGAGCAUGUGGUUUAAUUCGAUGCAACGCGAAGAACCUUACCUGGUCUUGACAUCCACAGAACUUUCCAGAGAUGGAUUGGUGCCUUCGGGAACUGUGAGACAGGUGCUGCAUGGCUGUCGUCAGCUCGUGUUGUGAAAUGUUGGGUUAAGUCCCGCAACGAGCGCAACCCUUAUCCUUUGUUGCCAGCGGUCCGGCCGGGAACUCAAAGGAGACUGCCAGUGAUAAACUGGAGGAAGGUGGGGAUGACGUCAAGUCAUCAUGGCCCUUACGACCAGGGCUACACACGUGCUACAAUGGCAUAUACAAAGAGAAGCGACCUCGCGAGAGCAAGCGGACCUCAUAAAGUAUGUCGUAGUCCGGAUUGGAGUCUGCAACUCGACUCCAUGAAGUCGGAAUCGCUAGUAAUCGUAGAUCAGAAUGCUACGGUGAAUACGUUCCCGGGCCUUGUACACACCGCCCGUCACACCAUGGGAGUGGGUUGCAAAAGAAGUAGGUAGCUUAACCUUCGGGAGGGCGCUUACCACUUUGUGAUUCAUGACUGGGGUGAAGUCGUAACAAGGUAACCGUAGGGGAACCUGCGGUUGGAUCACCUCCUUACCUUAAAGAA
rnacentral:rRNA from 1 species